rnacentral:rRNA from 1 species
GACGAACGCUGGCGGCGUGCUUAACACAUGCAAGUCGAACGGAAAGGCCCUGCUUUUGUGGGGUGCUCGAGUGGCGAACGGGUGAGUAACACGUGAGUAACCUGCCCUUGACUUUGGGAUAACUUCAGGAAACUGGGGCUAAUACCGGAUAGGAGCUCCUGCUGCAUGGUGGGGGUUGGAAAGUUUCGGCGGUUGGGGAUGGACUCGCGGCUUAUCAGCUUGUUGGUGGGGUAGUGGCUUACCAAGGCUUUGACGGGUAGCCGGCCUGAGAGGGUGACCGGCCACAAUGGGACUGAGGAACGGCCCAGACUCCUACGGGAGGCAGCAGUGGGGAAUAUUGCACAAUGGGCGGAAGCCUGAUGCAGCAACGCCGCGUGCGGGAUGACGGCCUUCGGGUUGUAAACCGCUUUCGCCUGUGACGAAGCGUGAGUGACGGUAAUGGGUAAAGAAGCACCGGCUAACUACGUG